UCCGUAGGCGGGCAAUUAAGUCAGAGGUGAAAUCCCACAGCUCAACUGUGGAACUGCCUUUGAUACUGGUUGUCUUGAGUUACAGUGAAGUAGAUAAAAUAUGUAGUAUAGCGGUGAAAUGCAUAGAUAUUACAUAGAAUACCGAUUGCGAAGGCAGUCUACUAACUGUAUACUGACGCUAAUGGACGAAAGCGUGGGGAGCGAACAGGAUUAGAUACCCUGGUAGUC
rnacentral:rRNA from 1 species